rnacentral:rRNA from 1 species
GAACGAACGCUGGCAGCAUGCCUAACACAUGCAAGUCGAACGAGACCUUCGGGUCUAGUGGCGCACGGGUGCGUAACGCGUGGGAACCUGCCCUUAGGUUCGGAAUAACUCCCCGAAAGGGGUGCUAAUACCGGAUAAUGUCUUCGGACCAAAGAUUUAUCGCCUUUGGAUGGGCCCGCGUUGGAUUAGCUAGUUGGUAGGGUAAAAGCCUACCAAGGCGACGAUCCAUAGCUGGUCUGAGAGGAUGAUCAGCCACACUGGGACUGAGACACGGCCCAGACUCCUACGGGAGGCAGCAGUGGGGAAUAUUGGACAAUGGGCGAAAGCCUGAUCCAGCAAUGCCGCGUGAGUGAUGAAGGCCUUAGGGUUGUAAAGCUCUUUUACCCGGGAUGAUAAUGACAGUACCGGGAGAAUAAGCUCCGGCUAACUCCGUG